UUUUUUUCGGAAUAAGUAAUAUUGUGAAUCUGUUUAUGGUAUUAUUACUGCUUAGAUAUAUAUUGUAAUCUGUUUACACUUAUUCUACAUUUUUGCUUUUACAUAGUUUUGUUGAUAUUUAUUUUACUAAAUAAUUACUAAUAGAUAAAGAAGUAUGUGCAGGAUUUAAUUUCACGACUAAAGAGGACUCCGAAGAAGAAUUAAAGUUCUGGUGAAACAAAGAUCGAGGAAUGAUUUGGUUUUAACUGGUUUGCAUCUUAUGAACAAAGAAUACCAACAAUAUUGCAAUAUUUUAAUGUAGCAAAUAAAUGAAUUUUGUUG